rnacentral:lncRNA from 1 species
AAAUAGAAACAGAAUGAAACGAAACAGAGAGCAGGGGAGAAAAAGAAAGAAAGAAAGGGAGAAAAGAGAAAAUUGAAGGUUUGAAGCUUUAAGCUUUAAUAGUCAAUGUGGUACCGGAAAUCUCGGCUAAGAAAGGACAGGAUAAAGUCAACGGGAGUUAGCUCGAAAAUUACGGUUUGUAUUUCUAUAAUCCGAACUUAGUUAUUAUUUGUUAGAUUUAUAUACAUAUGGCAAUUGUUAGUGUUAGAAUUAUGAUGUUUUACAAUUGGAAUGGAUUGAUUUUGGUAUGCGAUGAAUUUAUUAAAUUUAUAUUGAUUGAAAUUAUUUUGAUUGAAAUUAUUUUGAUUGAAUUAUAUAAUAUAUAUGAUUUAUGUAGAAAUUUGAAUAUUGAAUGAAUAUUAUAUUGAAAAAUAUAUUGAUUGAAAAUAUGAGGAGAUUGAUAUGAAUAUAUGAGAUUGUGAUAUUUGAAUAUUUGAUAUUGAAAAGUGAAUUGAAUUGUAUUGAAUUAUGAAUUAAUGUGAAUAAUUGAAAUAUAUUGUUGAAUUGAAUGAAAUUGUAUGAAUUGUGAAAAUGGGUGAAUAUAUGUGAUUAUCAGAAUGGUAUAUUGAUGAAAGAAUUAUUAAAUUGAGAAAGUGAAUAAAAUACCCUAUUAACUAGUCGGGCUGAGUCGGAUAUAAUUGGCAUGCCAUAGGAUCUGGAAGUGUACGGGAUUUGCCGGCUUUAUUGAUCAGGCACUUUAUGUGUCGUAUUUCAGGCACCUCGUGUGUCGUAUCAGGCACCUCGUGUGUUGUAUCAAGCACCUCGUGUGUCAUUUUAGGCACUUUAUGUGUCGUAUACUGAUCAGGUACUAUGUACCGUUUUAGGCACAAUGUGCUGUACUGGUGUGUUUGGGUUGGAAUCCGUGUAUCCGUCAAAGUCUGGGUUUGUUAAUAGGGGUAAAUAAGUGAAAGAUAAAUCGAAUAAAUUUGAUUGAUCAAGCUAUUAAAAUGAAACGAAAAAUUGAAUUGAGAAUUGAAAAUUGAAAAUUUAGAUAUGCAAUUAAAAAUAUGAACCAAAGGUUCAUGAAAUGAUUGGAGUUCGAAUUGAUGAUAUAUGAUGCCACUUGAUGAAUUGAAAUGUGAUUUGAGAUAUAUGAAUCGUAUGUAUAUACUGAAAGCUAUCAGGGAUAGUAAGUUGAUAUGAUAUAAAUGAAAUUGACUGUUAUUGAAAUGAAUUAAAAUGGAAUAUGAUUGAUAAGUGUAUAGUUGAAUAUAGUUUAAUGAUAUUGAAUUGUGAGUAAAUUAAGGAAAUCUAUACCGAGUAGUAAGUGAAAGAAUGGAGUAAUAAUAAUGGAUUUAGUUAAGAAUUUAACAAUUAUGUUAUUGUGUUUAUUAUAUGAUUUGUAUAAAAUUUAUAUGGUAAGUAGUUGAAAUUUAUCUAUGAAUAAAUAAUUGAAUAAUUGUAAUUGUUAUUAUGAUCUUAAGUAUUUGUUAUAUUAUUAAUUGUUCAGAUUAUAGAAAUACCACUGAUUAUACCAUACUCAGCGUACGGUUUGUUUCCGUGCGCAGGUUAAGUAAAGAUAGUACGUUGAAUCAGCAUCCCAAGAUGAUCCCGAAUUCAUUAAGGUAAAGUAUGUUGAGUAUUGAUAAUGGCAUGUACCCAGGAUGUUUAAUGAGAGU